UUGUCUUGCUCUUUGCAGGAUUUUCUUCUUAUGAGUCUUCCAUUGGUGAAAAUCAUCCCAUAUUGAGAAAGAGAGAAUUUUUGUUUUGUCUGAGGUCAAACAAAUUUAAGUGCCAUCCUCUUGAUCUUUGUGAGAUGCUGAGGCUGCCACAGUCUUUCUGUGUCUUUACAAGCAAAAGAAGGGCUGAGGAAAGGGAAUGAAGUGCAGGAACCUCCUAAUUUCAUCCUGAUACUUGGAGCUCUCAGUACCAGCCUCUACAAAGUCACUGAUUCUAUUUUUUUUUUCCAGACAGAAGCAUCUAUGCAGUCGAUAUCUAGACACAAAAAUCCACAGAACCUUUAUUCUAUUUGCACUGCAGGCAGCAAAACACUUUCCAGCAAACUUGAAGCCUCUAGCAAAAGAGCAAAAGAACAAAAGAAGCACAACUUGAAAAUGACAGAGAAAGAGAGCAGAGGAAAUGAAGAAUAUUACACAAAUUUUAAUUACUGCAGAAGUAAGAUGUCAUAAAUAAAACUCAAUGACCACAGAAAGUAAGCCAUGGUGUCAUCUAGAAAGAGGGAUGACUGGAAGAUAAUGAGACUGAGGGAUGGCAUGAAAAAAUAUGACCUAUCCUUUGGGCUUAGAAUCUUCCAGAAAAACAAACACACAAACAAACAAACAAAAUACAAAAACCAGUGGCAAAGUCUUAAGUGCACAUAACCAAACUCCUCCCUCCCCAGCCAUAACACCUCAGGGACCAUGAUUAAGGAACAUAAGUCUUUUUCUAGGCAUUCCCAUGGUUUUGUUCAGAGCACUUGGCACAUGAGAAGACCAAGCUGUUUUGUUGGUCUAGGAUGGCCUGCAUCUUUCAUGUCUGCAUAGAGACUGCCAAACUCUGGGUACUAUAUAAAGGAGAAAAAAAAACAGAACGUUUCAAAUCACCAUCACCCCUUCUCUGGUUACUAGUGUCUCACUAGCACUUCCUGCCUUCAGCUGUGUUUUAGCUUCUAGAAGUUGAGGAGUCAGUCUAAUUACAGACAUACUUUCAGACCUUUAGGAGUUCAGCUUUUGGUUAUGGAGUAGAAGAUGAUAAGGAAGGACACAAAUAAUUGUCUUUCCCAUUUUAAGGAUUGUGAAGGAAAACAAGGCUAUGACACUGAACUGCUGAGUAAAGAAUAUUGAGGAAUAUCCUGCCAGACUCUAUUAUCUUACCUAUUCCAGCCAGCCACCAUUGGAUUUCUGGGCAGAUUUCCAGAAUCAGUGUAAUGCAGAACUGUACACACAUAUGAAAGCUUAGCUCAUCCAGUAGUCACUUUGCUAUUUAAUCUUCCUAAAGAAUGUCUGGCAUGUAGUUCCCUUGUGUGCAUGGCCCCUAGUAGUGACCAGUCCCACAGAUCAUCUGCAGAGCAUCCAUUUGAUGCAACUAUCAUAGGCCUUCUCUUCCAGGCAUGCCCUCAAGGUGCCCAUUCCAAAGGAUUCUACUUCUCUCAAAUCCCAAUUCAACGGUCUGUUAGAGGCUUUGGCCUGUUAGAGGCUUUGGUGUGCUUUUCACAGGGGCUCUUACAAUGCAGUGCAAUUAAAUUUCCAUUAGUUUGUGGCAGUUGCGUACAGUGAACUUUAUCAGAGAGAUCUUUGACAUUCAUACCUAACACUGAAGCACGACUUCAAGCAGUUAAAAAUUUGUCUCCCUCCAUACACAACCUUAAUGAGGCUUUUCAGAAGCAUUCCCCCACUUAGAAAAAAGGAGUUUGUGAAUUAAAGAGUUCAGAGCAUAUGUAAUUGGAAACAGUUCCAUCAAAUAAUGGCUGCAGACUGGAAUUCCCUUCUUACCCUGAGGGACAAUGUACUUUGUUUCCAAGCCAGAAGAAUAUUAAUUUCCAUUUACAGAACCCUUCUACAUUCGGAGAGAUAGGAAGAGC